UCUUAAGUAGUUUAUUUAAAAUAUUGAUUUGUGGUGUCAGAGAUGUAAAUUAUUACCUUGGGUA
rnacentral:tRNA from 2 species